rnacentral:rRNA from 1 species
AGUGAACGCUGGCGGCAUGCCUAACACAUGCAAGUCGAACGGCAGCACAGUAAGAUUUUGCUCUUACGGGUGGCGAGUGGCGGACGGGUGAGGAAUACAUCGGAAUCUACUUUUUCGUGGGUGAUAACGUAGGGAAACUUACGCUAAUACCGCAUACGACCUACGGGUGAAAGCAGUGGAUCUUCGCACCUUGCGCGAUUGAAUGAGCCGAUGUCGGAUUAGCUAGUUGGCGUGGUAAAGGCCCACCAAGGCGACGAUCCGUAGCUGGUCUGAGAGGAUGAUCAGCCACACUGGAACUGAGACACGGUCCAGACUCCUACGGGAGGCAGCAGUGGGGAAUAUUGGACAAUGGGCGAAAGCCUGACCCAGCCAUACCGCGUGGGUGAAGAAGGCCUUCGGGUUGUAAAGCCCUUUUGUUGGGAAAGAAAAGCAGUAGAUUAAUACAUGGCUGUUCUGACGGUACCCAAACAAUAAGCACCGGCUAACUUCGUG